rnacentral:rRNA from 1 species
GAUGAACGCUAGCGGCAGGCUUAAUACAUGCAAGUCGAGGGGCAGCGGGGGUAGCAAUACCUGCCGGCGACCGGCAAACGGGUGCGGAACACGUACACAACCUUCCUUUAAGUGGGGGAUAGCCCAGAGAAAUUUGGAUUAAUACCCCGUAAUAUUAUUAGGUGGCAUCAUUUAGUAAUUAAAGCUGAGGCGCUUGGAGAUGGGUGUGCGUCUGAUUAGGUAGUUGGCGGGGUAACGGCCCACCAAGCCUUCGAUCAGUAACUGGUGUGAGAGCACGACCAGUCACACGGGCACUGAGACACGGGCCCGACUCCUACGGGAGGCAGCAGUAAGGAUAUUGGUCAAUGGACGCAAGUCUGAACCAGCCAUGCCGCGUGGAGGAUGAAGGUCC